rnacentral:rRNA from 1 species
UGCGCAGGCGGUCUUUUAAGUCAGAUGUGAAAUCCCCGGGCUUAACCUGGGAACUGCGUUUGAAACUGAAAGGCUAGAGUGUGGCAGAGGGGGUGGAAUUCCACGUGUAGCAGUGAAAUGCGUAGAGAUGUGGAGGAACACCGAUGGCGAAGGCAGCCCCCUGGGCUAACACUGACGCUCAUGCACGAAAGCGUGGGAGCAAACA